GACGAACGCUGGCGGCGUGCUUAACACAUGCAAGUCGAACGGAAAGGCCUGCUUUCCCUUGUGGAUUGCGGGUGCUCGAGUGGCGAACGGGUGAGUAACACGUGAGUGAUCUGCCCCCAACUUGGGUAUAAGCCUGGGAAACUGGGUCUAAUUCCCGAUAGGACUGCAGGGUGGUGCCUGUGGUGGAAAACGAUUUUCUAGUGGUUGGGGAUGAGCUCGCGGCCUAUCAGCUUGUUGGUGGGGUAAUGGCCUACCAAGGCGGCGACGGGUAGCCGGCCUGAGAGGGUGGACGGCCACAUUGGGACUGAGAUACGGCCCAGACUCCUACGGGAGGCAGCAGUGGGGAAUAUUGCACAAUGGGCGGAAGCCUGAUGCAGCGACGCCGCGUGGGGGAUGACGGCCUUCGGGUUGUAAACUCCUUUCGGCCGCGAGGAAGCCACCUGGUUGGAAGGGUGGUGACGGUAGUGGUAGAAGAAGCACCGGCUAACUACGUG
rnacentral:rRNA from 1 species